GUUGGUUUUUAGCUCACCUGUCACAAAGUGACAGGGUGAGCUUUUGUGAUCGCUUUUCGUCCGGCGUACGUCCGGCGUUCGUCCGUCCGUCCGUCCGUAAACUUUUGCUUUAAAUGACAUCUUCUCAUAAACCACUGAGCCAAUUUCAUCCAAACUUCACAGGAAUGUUCCUUUGGUGGUCACCUUUAAAAAUUGUUCAAAGAAUUUAAUUCCAUGCAGAACUCUGGUUGCCAUGGCAACCAAAAGAAAAAACUUUAAAUAUCUUCUUUUAAAAAACCAUAAGAGCUAGAGCUUAGAUAUUUGGCAUGAAACAUCUUCUAGUGAGUGUCUACCAAGUUUGUUCAAAUAAAAGCUCUGGGGUCAAAAUUGGCCCCGCCCCAGGGGGGUCAUUGAUUUUCCUUAUAUGUGUAUAGCAAAAACUUAAAAAUCUUCUUUGGAAAAACCCAAAUAGCUAGAGUUUAGAUAUUAAGCAUGAAACAUCUUUAAGUAAAUAUCUACAAAGUUUGUUAAAAUAAAUGCCCGGGGGUCAAAACUUGCCCUGCCCCAGGGUGACAUUGUUUUUAACUAUAUGUGUAUAGUAAAAACUUUAAAAAUCUUCUUUUAAAAAUGCCAAUGAGCUAGAACUUAGAUGUUUAGCAUGAAACAUCUUCUUAUGGGUGUCUACCAAGUCUGUUCAAAUAAACAAAUAAAAGCCCUU